rnacentral:lncRNA from 1 species
CAUUUCAUUCUAAACACACAAACAAACAUCACAUUACAUAUAAAAUUUCAAUAUUUUAUACAUACAGUACUCGUAUAUAUAUUGUAUUAUAGUUCGAUAAUGAUAUAUCAAAGCCACCAAAAAGCAUUUAAUUAAUCAUUCAAGAUCAUGGAAUGUACUAAUUUAAUUUUUUAAGUAUAUAAGCUCUUGACCUGUUUUGAAACAGAACAACAACAAUAAUUAUUGAAUAGAUAAGGUUAAAUUACGUACACAUUUCGUCUAUUUAAGCAGGGUUAAAUUAAUCUCCUGUAUACAUUCAGACAUAUUAAACUCUAGCAUGCCUUUAGAUAUUAAUUUCCAGCACGCAUUCGAAUACUUUUCGAGCUAACAACAAUUAAAUUUUCAGACAAUUUAGCUACCUACAUCCUUUCAUCAAAUACUUGUUUCUUAGUUUCAACUAUUAAUAAUGGGACAUUACUAAAAUUGAAACUUUUGGACAGCAAUAUAAAUAGCAAUUUAAACAGUUUUAAGCUCCCAAAUUUUAAACUCCUCAAGCAUAAACCGAACAGCAAUGCAUGUUAGUUCCAACCAUAUUUAUUUUGUGCAUUUUACCCACAGUACAAGAUACGCAAAAUUUAACAGCAACC